rnacentral:rRNA from 1 species
GUAGUCCACGCCGUAAACGAUGAGUGCUAAGUGUUAGGGGGUUUCCGCCCCUUAGUGCUGCAGCUAACGCAUUAAGCACUCCGCCUGGGGAGUACGGUCGCAAGACUGAAACUCAAAGGAAUUGACGGGGGCCCGCACAAGCGGUGGAGCAUGUGGUUUAAUUCGAAGCAACGCGAAGAACCUUACCAGGUCUUGACAUCCCGUUGACCACUGUAGAGAUAUGGUUUUCCCUUCGGGGACAACGGUGACAGGUGGUGCAUGGUUGUCGUCAGCUCGUGUCGUGAGAUGUUGGGUUAAGUCCCGCAACGAGCGCAACCCUUGAUCUUAGUUGCCAUCAUUUAGUUGGGCACUCUAAGGUGACUGCCGGUGACAAACCGGA